rnacentral:rRNA from 1 species
GAGUUGUAAUUUGAAGGUGAGAUGGCGACUUCAAGUCUGGCUAAAGUCCCUUGGAACAGGGCGCCUUAGAGGGUGAGAGCCCCGUACAACCAGUUCUUGAAGUCAUAUGCUUUCUCUCCAAAGAGUCGAGUUGUUUGGGAAUGCAGCUCAAAGUGGGUGGUAAAUUCCAUCUAAAGCUAAAUACCGGCGAGAGACCGAUAGCGAACAAGUACCGUGAGGGAAAGAUGAAAAGCACUUUGAAAAGAGAGUGAAACAGUACGUGAAAUUGUUGAAAGGGAAGGGCUUGCAAGCAGACACAACCCUCGUGGUUGGGCCAGCAUCGGUUGCUAGGGGUGGAUAAGGCGGCGGGAAUGUAGCUUCCUCGGAAGUAUUAUAUCCCGCUGAGAUACACCCACCGGCGAC